rnacentral:rRNA from 1 species
UACAGAGGUCUCAAGCGUUGUUCGGAUUCAUUGGGCGUAAAGGGUGCGUAGGCGGCGCGGUAAGUCGGGUGUGAAAUCUUGGAGCUUAACUCCGAAACUGCAUUCAAUACUGCCGUGCUUGAGGACUGGAGAGGAGACUGGAAUUUACGGUGUAGCGGUGAAAUGCGUAGAUAUCGUAAGGAAGACCAGUGGCGAAGGCGGGUCUCUGGACAGUUCCUGACGCUGAGGCACGAAGGCCAGGGGAGCAAACGGG